GCUUGCGCAACAACUUCCACCUGGCUUACCUCUUCAGUUGUUUGCCAAGGCUUUAUUGUCUUGGUGGAUUGUGGGUUUCUUGUGUUGCAUACCUACGCAAUGGCAUUGCCUUGGUUGAUUGUGGUCCCUUUUCUUCUAGUGUCAUACCCAUGACACUUGAUGAACCUUGAAGCGGUUUCUUUGGUCCACCUUGUCAAUGAAUGUGUUGAUUUUGUGGUACAUUGAGCAUCGCUUGGUUUCUUGGAUACAGAACAUAAUUUGAGCAUGGGGGGUCUCAUGUGGUCCUUGAUUUGCUUUCACUCAGCUUGUGCGCUUCUCUUAAAAAGGAUUGCCUCGCCCAGAAUGGCAUGUUCCCCUGGGGUGGUAUGACUUUGAGAAACUAUCACUGUUUGAUGCUUCCAUGGAGUCUCAUGUGAUCCUCCUUCUGCUCUCAUCUAGCGUUCGUGCUUCUCUUUAAGUGACGGCCUCGGCGCCAAGGCUUGUCCUAGCGGUUGAGGCCUUGUCAAAGAGGAAUGC
rnacentral:misc_RNA from 1 species